rnacentral:rRNA from 1 species
UACAGAGGUCUCAAGCGUUGUUCGGAUUCAUUGGGCGUAAAGGGUGCGUAGGUGGCGCUGUAAGUCGGGUGUGAAAUUUCGGAGCUUAACUCCGAAACUGCAUUCGAUACUGCGGUGCUUGAGGACUGGAGAGGAGACUGGAAUUCAUGGUGUAGCAGUGAAAUGCGUAGAGAUCAUGAGGAAGACCAGUGGCGAAGGCGGGUCUCUGGACCGAUACUGACGCUGAGGAGCGAAAGCGUGGGGAGCGAACAGG